ACAAGAUUUCUCCAGACCGAACACUAAAUACAAACACUAAUCUAAAGAAAAAUGCUGCUUGACCUGAAAGAUGUAACCAUGAGUCACUGCCAGGAUGCCGCUCUUGGGAAGGUUUUAUGGCUGACUAGCAAAUCAACAAAUGGGAAAGAGGUUGGAUUCACAGCGUCCAAUCCAUCCCGUCCUCCCCUCUUCCCCUCCUCAGGAUGUGGGCACAGGCUAGUAUUUAUUGCCAUCCCUAAUUGCCCUGAGGACAGUUAAGAGUCAACUACAUUGCUGUGGAUUUGGAGUCAAAUGUCAGCCAGACCAGGAGCCACGAGUAGCCUGUGGAUUUGGGCAAACCUAUGCUCUAUCUACGUCGGGAGCCCCAUUUAAAAGAACUGGGAGCAUCAACAAAAGCUGGAUUGAUUCCUGUGCCCUCCUUGUUGCUCAGUAACAGAGCGAAAGGAUGUUACUGAUUAAAGAUUAAGUUGUA